GACGUAGGUCGCAAACGUUAUCCGGAAUCAUUGGGCGUAAAGGGUGCGUAGAUGGCAUGAUAAGUUAUUAGUGGGAAAUCGAGGCUCAACCUCGUGGAAGCUGGUAAUACUGUUUUGCUUGAGUGCAGGAGAGGUUAACGGAACUCCAUGUGGAGCGGUAAAAUGCGUAGAUAUAUGGAAGAACAUCAAUAACGGCGAAGGCAGUUAACUAUUCUGCUACUGACAUUGAGGCACGAAAGCGUGGGGAGCAAAACGG
rnacentral:rRNA from 1 species